UACGGGGGGGGUAAGCGUUGUUCGGAAUUACUGGGCGUAAAGGGCUCGUAGGCGGCCAACUAAGUCAGACGUGAAAUCCCUCAGCUUAACUGGGGAACUGCGUCUGAUACUGGAUGGCUUGGAUUCGGGAGAGGAAUGCGGAAUUCCAGGUGUAGCGGUGAAAUGCGUAGAUAUCUGGAGGAACACCGGUGGCGAAGGCGGCAUUCUGGACCGACAUUGACGCUAAGGAGCGAAAGCCAGGGGAGCAAACGGG
rnacentral:rRNA from 1 species